AACGAACGCUGGCGGCGCGCCUAACACAUGCAAGUCGAACGAGAAUCCGGGGCAACCCGGUAGUAAAGUGGCAAACGGGUGAGGAAUACAUGGGUAACCUACCCUUGAGAAGGGAAUAACCCGCCGAAAGGUGAGCUAAUACCCUAUACGCUAUCUUUUUUUCGAAAAGGAUAGGAAAGCCGGGUCGAGGACCUGGUACUCAAGGAGGGGCUCAUGUCCUAUCAGCUUGUUGGUGGGGUAACGGCCUACCAAGGCUACGACGGGUAGCUGGUCUGAGAGGAUGAUCAGCCACACUGGCACUGAGAUACGGGCCAGACUCCUACGGGAGGCAGCAGUGAGGAAUAUUGCGCAAUGGGCGAAAGCCUGACGCAGCGACGCCGCGUGGGGGAUGAAGGUUUUCGGAUCGUAAAGCACUGUGGAGGGAGAAGAAUAAAGCCGGUGAAGAGCGGCCCUGACGGUAUCCCUUUAGCAAGCACCGGCUAACUCCGUGCCAGCAGCCGCGGUAAU
rnacentral:rRNA from 1 species